rnacentral:lncRNA from 1 species
UCUGAUUAAGCUAAAAUUGCUUUGAUUAACCUUGUUCGGGAAAUGAUUACAAGCAAAGAAAAACUUGGCAACAUAUUUGAAAGUAAAAUCAACUAAUGAAAUUCGAAAUUCAAUAAGAAUGGCGACCACGAACGGAGAUGGCGAACCACCACCAAAAACACGAACGAAGCCAACAAUCUCGAACCAAAUCUGACCUCAAUCGACUCCAGCCUUAAUAUCCAAAAAUCUAAUAAAAGAACUAUCAAUUUUGUUUUCUUUUGUACAGGUUGCCUAGAUAGAAUUUUGAGGGGGCUGUCCAGUGAGUUUGGUUGAGGUGAAGAAGAAGAGCAGCGCUGCUCGUUUUACGGCAAUGGCUGCUUUUUGUGUUUGAAUGGGUGACGACUGUUUUUGGUUGGUGGAGAGCCGCUGGAGUUUUAGGAGAUGAGAUCGGGUGAGAGUCGGCGGUUUUGUGGUGCAAAGAUGGUCAGCGACCGGGUGAGUCGAUGUUCCGGGGUGGUCUGGUUGGUUUUCGACAGAUUUUGGCGGCGAUAGGGGGGCAACAUUGAUUCAAGGUUUCUAGGGUGUGUGUCGAUCUGUUGUCUCUUAGGUUAUAGGAAGCAAAGGGUCUGUUGGUAUGAGGGGUCAAGGCUGGGGUUCCUCCUAGGGUUCAGCUAGGGUGUCCAUGGGUCUAAGUUAGAGGUCUAAGGAAGAAGAAGGGUACUAGGUCUAAGUUUUUGGGUGCUGAAGAUGAG